UCGCUAUCUGUUGUUGGACAGGGAAACAAGAGUUGCUGGUCCCUGUCUGCAUCUAUGCAGACACACCACACCUAGGAAUCAGCCGAACGCCGAGCCAAAUGCCCAGUGGAAAGAGCCGCCUGAAGGUGUUGUAAAACUGAACACUGACGCUGCCUUUUUGUCAGGCACGGGCCAAGCCUAGGCUGGCGCGAUCACACGGGAUCAUACGGGGCAUGUUGUCUUCUCGGCGAGUAAAUCGAUGAAUAAAUGCAGAUCAAUUGAAGAGGCAGAGGGGCAAGCUAUCCUGAUGGGUCUGGUAUCGCUGUCGAGACUGUACCAAGGCCCACUGAUCAUUGAGACUAACAUCAAAAUGAUUGCAAAUGAAUUGGGACAAGCCAGAUCAAGCCGAUCAGAUUGUUUUCUGGGUUGUCAGUGAGAUAAAAAACACAAGCCGGAUCUUCAGUUCAGUUCGGGCCAAGGCCAUCAAAAGGGAACAAAACUGUCUAGCACAUGAGCUUGGCUGCUAGAGCUAGACGGCAUGAGGACUCACUGAUAAUUGCGGACGUGCCCGAGGAGCUUCGUUCGCUGAUGCUAUCUAAAUGUACCAAGUGAUGUGUUUGGUCCUUUUUUAGGUAGUCAUCCUCAAAAAUAUAAUAUACAUGUUAUGAAAUGCCUUCCAAGUCAACCACAUAGCCAUUUUUUAAGAACUGGUGGGAAUUCGUUUGUAGAUAAAAUUAUUCUUUUACAGGGGAUGUUGCCUUAUUUCUACAUUAAAGCAAAUAAACAGUUUGAUGAACUUAACAACUCUCUAUCCUUAUUUGUUAUUUCUCUUAUUCAUAGCGUGUUUUCGCCAUUUAUACAUGUGAUGAUGAUGAACUAAACAACUUAUUCUUAUUUCUUGAAACAUGAAGUGUUUUUCACGUUUGUUACAAUCCAAUGUUUGUUAAUUAAUUAUAUUAUUUAUAUUCAUAAGUAGUAUAAAGUUGGCUCAAAAUAGUUAAUAUGAUUUUGGAUGAUAUAUUAUGAUGUUGACUAGGAGGUUAUUGGUGCUCACUAAAAUAGCAGUAUGAAAUAAGCCUGCAUAUAUUUGUUGGUUUUCAAUUUAAGCCUUUCAACUCAACUGAAAUUAUUAUUUUUACAUUAUUUACUGACAUAAAACUCCUGUUUUGCAGGCUAUCUUGAACGAUUGCAGGUUUUAAUCAAGAAGUCCUCAAUAGGUGGACUGGCUCAAAAUGGAGAAGCAUGCUGGUAGCUUUUUGGUUGAUUGUAUAUAUUAAGCAUUUAAGUUCGUAGCAAUUCAUACCAUCAAUAUCUUUGGAGGUAAAAUAAUACAAGAGCAUAGUGAUCUAAACGCUUUUAUAUUAUAGUUUACAAAGGGAGUAAUAUUAGGAAAUUGUGCCUUUUUCGGCCUGAUGUGUCGUGCUGUUCAUAGACAUCCUUACCCCAUUUCCUCCUCACAUACGGCCUGGGUUUUGGGAUAGCAAGACGACAAUUUUGGGUGCCGAUUUUCUCUCUCCCUCUUGCUAAUCAAAUUAUGAACAACCGGUAAGACUAAUGUUACUCUCUUCAAUCCUACCAUGUAUUCUUUGACUUUUGUGCUAACACAGGAAAAAUGUGUUGUAAACUUGUGAGUUGUGCCUUACUCCCUCCAUUCUUAAAUACAAGUCUUUUUAGAUAUUCCAAUGCGGACUAACAUACGGAGCAAAAUGAGUGAAUCUACAUUUUCUAAAAUAUGUCUAUAUACAUAAGUAUGUAGUUCGUUUCUAAAAUAUGUAUAUAUACAUAAGUAUGUAGUUUGUAUUAGAAUCUCUAAAAAGACUUAAAUUUAGGAAUAUAUGGAGUAUAUUUUCUGGGCAAG
rnacentral:lncRNA from 1 species